AGCGAACGCUGGCGGCAGGCCUAACACAUGCAAGUCGAACGAACCUUUCGGGGUUAGUGGCGGACGGGUGAGUAACACGUGGGAACGUGCCUUUAGGUUCGGAAUAACUCAGGGAAACUUGUGCUAAUACCGAAUGUGCCCUUCGGGGGAAAGAUUAAUCGCCUUUAGAGCGGCCCGCGUCUGAUUAGCUAUGUGGGUGAGGUUAUGGCUCACCAAGGCGACGAUCAGUAGCUGGUCUGAGAGGAUGAUCAGCCACAUUGGGACUGGGACACGGCCCAAAAUCCUUCGGGAGGGCAGCAGGGGGGAUCCUGCGGAAUGGGCGAAAGCCUGACGCAGCCAUGCCGCGUGAAUGAUGAAGGUCUUAGGAUUGUAAAAUUCUUUCACCGGGGACGAUAAUGACGGUACCCGGAGAAGAAGCCCCGGCUAACUUCGUG
rnacentral:rRNA from 1 species